UCCCCGCUUCUCCUCCCUGAGCGGGUGCCUGUCGAUAUUCGAUUAGGCUGUUAACCCGCCGUCAAUGCGGCGGGUUUUUUUAU
rfam:Burkholderia sp. RPE64 DNA, chromosome 1, complete genome.